GUAUCUCAACAAUAUAUUAAAUAAAAUUAAAACAAUGCAUUAUUCAUGUAAUACCCAAUUUUAAGCCCGGGCCCAAAUAAAUAAACAUAAAAAAAUAAAAAAAAUGACCCAAUACAUCAGGCCCACCUAGACCUAACCCUAAUGGCCCAAACUCAUAACAGUCAAAGAAACCCUAAGCAGAUUAAACCAAAUCGGCGCCGCAGCAACUGCCCACGUCGCGGCAACCAUUUCCACCCACGUUCAGCAAUCCCCCACACCCACCAUGCACGUUCUUUACUUGCAACAAACCACAAACAGUGGCAAUGACCGAAUAUACAGCAACAAAUUGUAAAAGAUUGGAUUUUUUUUGGUUUUCUCUGUAAAUAUUGGCUAUAAAAAGCCAAUCGAUUUUUUGUAAAUGGGGGGACGAAUAUUGUAUGAAAAAUUAUUGAAAAAACAGAGAAUCAAAUAGUUUUUGGAAAGUGAGGUAUUUUCUUCCUUUUUUUUUUCCUUUCUCUUUCUUUUUUUUUUUUUUUUGGUCUUACUUGUUGAAUGUAAAGAAAAUAACAAAGGAGAAGAAGAGAAACUUACCUUUGAGAGUGUCGAAAUACUCUUUCACUUCGUCUAAAUCGAAGUUGGAGGAGGUUGGUGUGUGAGAG
rnacentral:lncRNA from 1 species